rnacentral:lncRNA from 1 species
UUUUUUUUUCUUUUCCUCUUCGAGCCCUUUCCGGGCCUGUAGAACCCUCGCUGCCGUCGCCGUCCUCCCCAACCCCCCCAACCCGUCCCCUCCCCUCCCCCGGCUCCGGCGCCACCAACCCCCUCGCCUCCCCUCUCCUGCCCCGGGCGCCUCCCGCACCCCGUGCGACCACCCCCCGCACCCUUCGCGGCCUCGGCCCGCCGCCGUCCCCUCCCGUUCCCUCCCCCAGCCCCGGCGAACCCGAGCCCCCGCGCGAGCACCGGCGACUGACCGCGCCCCUCUGUCCGUGCUCCUCUCUCAUGUUCUUUCCUUCCCACAGGN